AUGUUAUAUUCAUGCCCCAAUCAUGAGCUCGCAAAAGAAGUGAUUAUGCAAAGUUUUUAUGCUCGGCUUUCUGGUAACAAUCGCACCAUGCUCGAUACUUCUUGUGUUGGCUCUUUUAUGAUGAAGCCUAUUGAAUUUAGAUGGAACUUAUUGGAUAUAAUUAAACGCAACUCUAAAGAUUGGGACCUCGAUGAAGGUAAGGAGUCAGGUAUGACACCUAAGUUUGAUUGUGUUAAAUCUUUUAUCGAUACCGAUAUUUUCCGUAAGUUUAGCACUAAAUAUGGACUUGACUCUGAGAUAGUAGCUUCUUUCUGUGAAUGUUUUGCUACUUAUGUUGAUCUCCCCAAGGAGAAGUGGUUUAAAUAUCAUCCUCCCAUAGAAGUAAAUGUAGCUGCACCUAUUAAAGUUGAAUAA
rnacentral:rRNA from 1 species